GACUUGAGUGCAGAAGAGGAAGUGGAAUUCCACGUGUAGCGGUGAAAUGCGUAGAGAUGUGGAGGAACACCAGUGGCGAAGGCGACUCUCUGGUCUGUAACUGACGCUGAGGCGCGAAAGCGUGGGGAGCAAACAGGAUUAGAUACCCUGGUAGUCCACGCCGUAAACGAUGAGUGCUAAGUGUUAGAGGGUUUCCGCCCUUUAGUGCUGCAGCUAACGCAUUAAGCACUCCGCCUGGGGAGUACGGCGCAAGACUGAAACU
rnacentral:rRNA from 1 species